rnacentral:rRNA from 1 species
AAAACUUUUAAUAAUAAAUCUCUUAGUUCUAACAUUAAUAAAAAACGUAAUAAAAUAUAAUAAGUAAUAUAAAUUAUAGAAUUUAGUAAAUUAUUAAAUCUUUAAACGCACAUUGCGCUUACUAAUAUUCUAGUAAGUAUACUUAUUCGAAUAUUAUUUCAACUAUUAAGCUCUACUUACGUUAGGGAUCCGUAGCUAUCCGUAGUCCUUUAAAAUUAAUAGCGGGUUUAUUAAUUAUAUUGAGUAUAGUAAUUCUAUAUUAUUAUAAUUAUAUAGCGGGUUCUUACUAUAAAACCCCCUAUUUUUAAAAUUGACCUCGGAUUAGGUAGGAAUACCCGCUGAAUUUAAGUAUAUUAAUAAGUAGAAGAAAAAAAAUUAAUAGGGAUUACCUUAAUAAUAGCGAAUAAAAUAGUAAUAGUUCAAAUUUGAAAUCUAGCUUCGGCCCGAAUUAUAAUUUGUAAAAGAAGCUUUUAGUAAGGCACUUUCUAAAUCCCCUAGAACGGAGCGCUAUAGAGGGUGAGAGCCCUAUAUAAUUGGAUGCCAAUCUAAUAUAAAGCUCCUUUAAUAAAUCGAAUAGUUUAGGAAUAUUAUUUAAAAUAGGAGGUAAAUUUCUUUUAAAGCUAAAUACCGGCUAGAGAUUAAUAGUAUAUAAGUAGAGUAAUUAAAAAAUGAAAAGUACUUUAAAAAGAGGGUUAAAUAGUAUAUGAAAUUAUUAAAAGGAAAGUGUUUAUAAUUAGAUUUAUACUGUUUUAAUUAUUUAGUAUUCUUAUUAGUAUAUUUAGGACGGUUUAAACUAAUAUUAGUUUUAGUAGGGGGAUAAAGGUUUAGGGAAUAUAACUCCUCUAGGAAUAUUAUAGCCCUAGGCGUAAUACCUUUACUAGAACUGAAGUUCGUAUAUUUAUAAGAAUACUAGUAUAAUAAUUAUUAAUAACCCGUUUUAAAAUACAGACUAAGGAAUUAAAGUUUUACGCAAGUAUUUAGGUAUAAAACCCGUACGUAUAAUAAAAGUAAAUGUAGGUGAGAGCUUCGGUAUAUUAUUAAUUAAUUCUAAUAUAUUUAGAUAAAUUUAAAUAAGAAUAUUAAACCUUAAACCCGAAAAAUAAUAAACUAUACUUAGAUAGGGUAAAGCUAGAAGAAACUCUAAUAGAGGCUCGCAACGGUUCUAACGUACAAAUCGAUUGUUAAAUCUAAGUAUGGGGGCGAAAGACUAAUUGAACUAUCUAAUAGCUAAUUACCGCCGAAGUUUCCCUUAAGAUAAUAAUAUUAUUCUUCAAUUUUAUAAGGUAAAGCGAAUAAUUAGGGACUCGGGGGCGCUUUUUAGCCUUCAUCCAUUCUUAAACUUUAAAUAUAUAAGAAGCCCUUAUUAUUUAAUUAAAUAUAGGUAUUCGAAUAUAUUAAUACUAAUAGGCUAUUUUUAAUAAGUAGAACUAGUAAUACGGAAUAAACCGAACGUAGGGUUAAAGUACUAGAGUAAAUACUUAUUAAAUACUAUAAAAAGCGUUAGUAUAUUUUAAUAAUAGGACGGUGGCUAUAGAAAUCGGAAUUUGCUAAGGACUAUAUAAUAAUUUACUUACCGAAUAUACUAGCUUUGAAAAUAAAUAGUACUUAAACGUCCUACUUAUACCCCGCCCUUAAAGUAGAAACGAUAUUCUAAAGAGUAGGCGGCUAUAGAGGUUAGUAACGAAGCCUAGGGCGUAAGCCCGGGUCGAACGGCCUUUAAUAUAAAUUUUAAUAGUAGUAAUAAAUAUUUUAAUAAGAAUUUAAAGGACUAAAGUAGGGAAAGGUUCUAUAUAAAUAGCGGUUGGAUAUAGGUUAAUUAAUCUUAAACUAUAGGGAAGUUCCGUUUUAAAGGGGUAUUUAUACUCUAUAUAGCGAAAGGGAAGCCGGUUAAUAUUCCGGUACCUAAAUAUAGGUUUUACGCGGUAAUGUAAUUAAAUAUAGAAACGAUAGCGGAGGCCCCAGGUAAAAUUCUCUUUUCUUUUUAAUAGUCUAUUACCCUAAAAAUAAUUUAUUUAGAGAUAGGGUUUAAUAGCCGGAAGAGCCCAAUAUUUCUAUUGGGUCCAGUACGUUUUUAAUAUCCCUUAAAAAUCCGUAGGAGGGAAUAAUUCUUAUAUUAAGUUAUAUUUAUAAUUAUAGUAGGUCUUUAAAGUGAAUAGCUUCUAAUUAAUAGAAUAAUAUAGAUAAGGGAAGUUAGUAAAAUAGAUUUAUAAUUUUAGGAAAAGGAUUAAUUCUAAGGGUUAAGUACGUCGGGCUUUAGGUAAACGCCCUAAGAGUAGAUUGCUAUUAGUUAGGUAACCGGCCGGUAGCUUUCAAUAUCCGGGUAUAGAAGCUUUUAAUAGACUUCGGUCGUCCGGUGUACGUUUAAUAAUUAAUUUAAAAUUAGUAUAGAUAGGGGGAAUUUAAUUAUCUAAUUAAAAUAUAGUAUUACGAUAGUUAGAAAGUAGUAUUAACGUAAUAUAAUUUCUAUUUAGUAUUUUAAAUAUUAAAAUAAAAAAAUUCAACUAAGCGCGGGUAAAUAGCAGGAAUAACUAUAAUUCUCUUAAAGUAGCCAAAUACUUUAUUAUUUAAUUAGUAACGCAUAUAAAUAGAUUAAUGAGAUUCCUAUUAUCCCUAUUUAUUAUCUAGCGAAACUAUAAUUAAAGGAACGGGCUUAGUAGAAUUAAUGGAGAAAGAAGACCCUAUUAAACUUAAUUUUAGUUUAAUAUUAUAAAAAAAUAUAGGAAGUAUAGAAUAGGUAGGAGCUUCGGCGCCGGUAAAAUACUACUACUCCUAUUGUUUUUUUACUUAUUUAAUUAAGCGGGGCUAGAUUUUUAUUCAACUUCUAAUUUUAAGGUCCUUCGUAGGCUAACCCGGAUUAAAAAUAUUAUUAAGUAGGGAAUUUAGCUAGGGCAGUACAUCUAUUAAACUAUAAUGCAAAUAUCCUAAGGGGGGCUUAUAGAGAAUAAAAAUCUCUAGUAGAACAAAAGGGUAAAAAUCCCCUUAAUUUUAAUUUUUAAUAUAAAUAUAAAUUAUAAAAGUAUAGCCUAUUAAUCCUUUAGUCCCUCGAAAUUUAAAGUUAGAAGUACUAGAAAAAUUACUAUAAGGAUAAUUAACUUAUAAUAGCCAAACGUUUAUAGCAAUAUCGCUUUUUAAUCCUUCAAUAUCAGCUCUUCCUAUUAUACCGAAGUAGAAUUCGGUAAAUAUUAGAUUAUUUACCUAUUAAUAGGGAAUGUAAGCUAAAUUUAGACUAUUAUAAAAUAAAUUAGUUUUACCCUACUAAUAACUUUAUCGCAAUAGUAAUUAAAUUUAGUAUAAAAGGAACUACUUAUUUAAAUAAUUAGUUUUUAUAAUUAUCUAACCGGAUAGUACUAUAACGCUACUAUCUACUAGAUAAUAACUGAACGCCUCUAAAUUAGAAUUUAUAUUAGAAUACGAUAAUACUUUUAGUAUAUUAUAGAUAUAUAAAAAUAAGCUCCGGCUUUGUAUCUUAGUAAGCAAUUCCUCUAUUAGCCUUAAAGUAGCUAGCGGUAAUUCGUAUAUU